UUUUGAUUCUCUGGAGAGUCUCCAUAAAUCCUUGUGGAGCGCCGAAGGGUUAAGGCUAUUCAAGCCGACAUCUCAGGCAAAGUGGACAGAGCAUAAAAA
rnacentral:ncRNA from 2 species